UACGUAGGGGGCUAGCGUUGUCCGGAAUCAUUGGGCGUAAAGAGCUUGUAGGCGGUUUGUCGCGUCUGCCGUGAAAAUUCGAGGCUCAACCUCGAACUUGCGGUGGGUACGGGCAGACUAGAGUGCGGUAGGGGAGAUUGGAAUUCCUGGUGUAGCGGUGGAAUGCGCAGAUAUCAGGAGGAACACCGAUGGCGAAGGCAGAUCUCUGGGCCGUUACUGACGCUGAGGAGCGAAAGCGUGGGGAGCGAACAGG
rnacentral:rRNA from 1 species